ensembl:snoRNA
GUUGAGGUCUAUCUAUCCCUAUGGAGCUUUUCCUGUAGCCUGCAGGUCGUUGGAAAUGCCUCAUAGAGUCUACCUUACUCACAGGACUAUUGUUAGAUCUGUGGAAAGGAAUGGAAAGACAGCU